AGUGCGGUCACAUACUUCCAGAAGAGCGGACCAGGGCUGCUGCCAGCACCUGCCACUCAGAGCGCCUCUGUCGCUGGGACCCUUCAGCCCUUCCCCCUUUUAAGAAGAGGAUGUUUGUAAAUUAGAAGCAACAGGAACAAGAAAGUCAUUUGAAGAGCCCGAGGAGGAUUAAACAUAAGUAUUCGUUAUGUAAUAUUUGUAAUUCCCUGCAAUCAGCCUGUUCCUUUCCCCAUAGGGGGCAAGGAGAUCAGGAUCUGGUGAGGUGUGAAUCUUGGGAGGUAUGAGGAAGUUGGGCUGAGAAAGUGAACUUUCUCCUGGUCUUUCCUGAGGGUGUGCUCUUAGAGGUCUCCCCCCUUAAGGGGCAAGGGUUAGACAAAUGACAAUUUCUAAGAGGACCGAAAGGAUUGUAUACACCCUGCCUCGUGAACUAGACAGCAGAUAUCUUAUUACUUGCACUUAACAUGGGGCAGCCUAGCGAUUGAGUAACUGGGUUGGGUUGGCAACAGCUACCCGGCUUCACUUAUGAAUAAUAGUAAUAAUAAUAACCGCAGCUAAAGC
rnacentral:lncRNA from 1 species